GCGGCCUUAGCUCAGCUGGGAGAGCGUCAGACUGAAGUUCCAACUUCAAGUCACUUGAUAUCUGAAGGUCGUGUGUUCGAUCCACACAGGCCGCA
rnacentral:tRNA from 3 species